UUGUAAUGCAACGCUCCUGAAUUGCAGGUGGGAUGUGCUCAAGCUGAGGGGGAAGCCUGAUCGCAGGGGGCAGAGGAGGGAUCUCAUGAGAAGAGAAUGCACCAGCCUGCCUAACUCUCUCUCUCUUUCAUGGGCUAAAUGUCUCUGACGAGCAUCCCUUAUACUGGCAUUUCGCUCUUUUACCCAUUGCUUAAUUAACUCCAAGGGUGGC
rnacentral:lncRNA from 1 species